UGCCACCAUUCCCACUGAAGCAGAUGCCACUGAGAACAGCAGGGUGCACCUCAGCGCAGGGCCAUGCCCUGGCAGAUACUGAACUUUUUCCUACCAGAGCCCACUGUUAAAAACUCUGCCAUGUGCCCUUAAACUAUCUCAUCUCGGGAGUUUAAAUCCAGAUACUCCUUGAAGGGGAGAAAAGGCCCAAUACUUGUGUUUCCCACUGACCUCCAGGCCUGGGGCUGUGCCCCCACUGUGACUCCUAGAGAUAUUCCCAAGAUGGAGACUCACCAAAUGGGGCUGCCACAUUCCUCACAGCCCCCUGGGAGACACUUCUUCCCUCGGGCAGAGAACAGGAGCAUGGCUCACGGAGAUGUGAUGCACCCAGAAUAUUUCUUACAGGUUUAUUUCCUCAAGGCGGCCUAAGCACCCAUGGCAGUAACCUGCAUGCCAGGGCUGGCCCCAGGCUCCAACCAUGAGGUGCCCCCACAAUUCUAAGGGGGCUGUUAUAGGCUGACAGCACUAGUGCCGAAACCAGGGAACUGCACCACUGCACAAUCACCCCGCCGUAAUAUUUUUUUGCCUAUUUUCUUAAGAAACAAUUUAAGCGGGGGGGUUUUAAGCCCCAAGAUUCCAGCUACUGUCAUCUCUACCUCUUUCCUUACUCCUCAGAGAGCCACCUCUCACUGCUGCUGGCUCUCCACGGGCCUUCACCCCUGGCAGUGGCAGCUGUAGACAAGAGAACAAGCAAGAAACAGAAGGACUAUGCACGCUGGUAGCAUCACAAAAAUGUCAAGUUUCUGCUUUCUGGAGCAAUUCUAAUGCUUCUGUAACAUCUGGGGAUGGCAGGGCCUGCAUUACUGAUGAAGCUGGGUAUUUUUUCUUCUACCUUUUUCUUCAUUGAAGAACAAUUAUUGCACUCACUUAUUCCACUGCUUCUCCUCCCUCCCCCAUGUUUUCCCCCGACUCCUUCUGCCCUGAUGCCCUCUUUGAAGAUGGUUAAAAUAAUAUUGCAGACUGACAGAAGAACUGGAGUGAGGACUGUGGAGGCUAAAAAAGAUACCCCUCGAGUUUACUGGAGUGUGGACAGAAAAUGUGCUUGUUCAGUGCAGCAAAAGUAUUAAGUUCCCCCAAAACAAGAAGAAAAAGGACUCAGAACAUUUUCUUCAGUCACCACUAAUGGCACGUUGUCUUAAAUUGUCCCAGAGCUGGAAGAGAAUGUCAUGUUGCUUCUACUUACUCUGGUAAAAACAUUGUGUGUUUUUAUUUGUGUGGCAAGA